rnacentral:rRNA from 1 species
UACGAAGGGAGCUAGCGUUGUUCGGAAUCACUGGGCGUAAAGCGCACGUAGGCGGAUGUGUCAGUCAGGGUGAAAUCCCGGAGCUCAACUUCGGAACUGCCUUUUGAUACAGCACAUCUGGAGUCCGGAAGAGGUGGGUGGAAUUCCUAGUGUAGAGGUGAAAUUCGUAGAUAUUAGGAAGAACACCGGUGGCGAAGGCGGCCCAC